UACGUAGGGUGCGAGCGUUGUCCGGAAUUACUGGGCGUAAAGAGCUCGUAGGCGGUUUGUCGCGUCUGCUGUGAAAACCCAGGGCUUAACCCUGGGCCUGCAGUGGGUACGGGCAAACUAGAGUGCGGUAGGGGAGAUCGGAAUUCCUGGUGUAGCGGUGAAAUGCGCAGAUAUCAGGAGGAACACCGGUGGCGAAGGCGGAUCUCUGGGCCGUAACUGACGCUGAGGAGCGAAAGCAUGGGUAGCGAACAGG
rnacentral:rRNA from 1 species